rnacentral:lncRNA from 1 species
AUGCUAUCUGGUGUCAGCCCAAUGCAGACGGAGGCGCGCUGUGCCCAGACCCACAGGAAGCCAGGCAUCUCCGCAGCCUGUGUUCCUGCCAGCUCCCCCCACGCGCUCAGAUUCGGCACGGAAGAAGUUAUGGUGCCCAGCCGCUGUGUGCAAGACCGAGAGACCACGCAGCACACUCCGAAAAUCGGCCGAGUGGCCCGGACGUCAAAGCAGCAGAACCAUCCGAGUGCCCUGGAGCUGGGCAUGGAGGGGCUACGUUGUUCGAGCGCUCGGAUGUCGCUGCUUUGUCACGGCCCCGGGAACGUAGGGGUAGGAGGAAGCGCACCUCCAGCCAAAAAUGGACCGGACGCGUUUUUCCCAGCGGCUCCCUCCCUGCCUGUCUGCAGGUCGCAAUACGAAAAAAAAAAUCGCUUUGAUUUCAUUCCUUCGUUCUUCGUGAUACUGUGCGAUCUGCCAGUGUAGAAAAUGCAUCGUUGGCUCCCUUGUCUUCAGCUAAGACUGCACUUGUCUGCACUAACUACAACCCACAAAUGGACAUUUGUGUCAUUACAUGCCUGGUUUGCACACGUUAAAUCAGAUGUACAGUGUGCAUCCCAUAGUUUAUUGUGUUGAUUAUGACAAGAACUAUGAUGAAUGGCAUUUAGUGGCUUUCGAUUAUCAUCCAGAAAGCUUCAUUUUCCGGCAUCAAUGAGACAAUUAAAAGAAUAACUGUUAAGCUGACCAUUGUGUGUCUUCAUUCUCCUGAUUCAUUUUACAUUCAUUAUGGUUCACGGUACAGAAUGGUGACAUCCACUCAUUCAUUCACUCAAUCAUCCAAACAAGUUUCCUGGAGUGCCUUGCAUGUGCUGGACACCAGUUGAGGCACAGGGAAGGACAUUGAAGAUGGACAAAACCUUUUCUCUUGUGUGGCUAACGAGCAAGGGUUGGGAAGGCUAACAGACCGACAAGCAGUCUAUUGGUAACAUAUCGGGGGUUAGCAGUGGCCUGGGGAGGGGCUGGGGAGGACAGGAAAGGGAAUUGAGGCCAUGGUCAUCAGGGGGGCCUCUCAAAGGUGGUGAGCUGGAGCAGAGACCUGAAUGAAGUGGAGGAGUGAGCUAUGCCAUGUCCCGCCACAGCCUGCCACGUGGAGGGAAGGACAUGUGUCAAGAGACUGAGGACGGAGCAGGGCUGGCGUGUUUAAGGAGCCACAGGAAAGUGGCUGGAGAGUAGGUGGCACAUGUGAACCAAAAACAUUAACAACAACAACACAGCUUCCAUUUCAUCCUGAGAAAGCUGUGAUGCCAUCGGAGGGUUCUGAGCACAGGGGACAUAAUCUGACCUUUGUUUCAAAAGAGUCACUCCAGCCACAGAGAGAAUAGACAGUUGGGGUUACAGUAGAAACCAGGAAACCAGCUAUGAGUUAUUAGGGUCAUCUUGGGAGAGAUAACGGUGGCUUGGGCCAGGAG